UAGGGAAUCUUCCGCAAUGGACGCAAGUCUGACGGAGCAACGCCGCGUGAGUGAAGAAGGAUUUCGGUUCGUAAAACUCUGUUGUUAGAGAAGAACAGCGCAUAGAGUAACUGUUAUGCGUGUGACGGUAUCUAACCAGAAAGCCACGGCUAACUACGUGCCAGCAGCCGCGGUAAUACGUAGGUGGCAAGCGUUGUCCGGAUUUAUUGGGCGUAAAGCGAGCGCAGGCGGUCAAUUAAGUCUGAUGUGAAAGCCCCCGGCUCAACCGGGGAGGGUCAUUGGAAACUGGUUGACUUGAGUGCAGAAGAGGAGAGUGGAAUUCCAUGUGUAGCGGUGAAAUGCGUAGAUAUAUGGAGGAACACCAGUGGCGAAGGCGACUCUCUGGUCUGUAACUGACGCUGAGGUUCGAAAGCGUGGGUAGCAGACAGG
rnacentral:rRNA from 1 species